rnacentral:rRNA from 1 species
CCCUUAAGCUUAGUUGCCAUCAUUAAGUUGGGCACUCUAAGUUGACUGCCGGUGACAAACCGGAGGAAGGUGGGGAUGACGUCAAAUCAUCAUGCCCCUUAUGAUUUGGGCUACACACGUGCUACAAUGGACAAUACAAAGGGCAGCGAAACCGUGAGGUCAAGCAAAUCCCAUAAAGUUGUUCUCAGUUCGGAUUGUAGUCUGCAACUCGACUACAUGAAGCUGGAAUCGCUAGUAAUCGUAGAUCAGCAUGCUACGGUGAAUACGUUCCCGGGUCUUGUACACACCGCCCGUCACACCACGAGAGUU